rnacentral:misc_RNA from 1 species
GAAAUGCGAUAAGUAAUGUGAAUUGCAGAAUUCAGAGAAUCAUCGAAUCUUUGAACGCACCUUGCGCUCCUUGGUAUUCCUUGGAGCAUGCCUGUUUGAGUAUCAUGAAAUCUUCAAAGUAAAUCUUUUGUUAACUCAAUUGGUUUCUACUUUGGUAUUGGAGGUCUUUGCAGCUUCACACCUGCUCCUCUUUGUUCAUUAGCUGGAUCUCAGUGUUAUGCUUGGUUCCACUCGGCGUGAUAAGUUAUCUAUCGCUGAGGACACUGUAAAAGGUGGCCAAGGUAAAUGCAGAUGAACCGCUUCUAAUAGUCCAUUGACUUGGACAAUACUUUUAUGAUCUGAUCUCAAAUCAGGUAGGACUACCCGCUGAACUUAAGC